GGGUUCGGGGAGCCCUACGCGGGGUGGGGCGGCUGCGGGGAGGAACUGGGUUCGGGGAGCCCUGGGCGGGGUGGGGCGGCUGCGGGGAGGAACUGGGUUCGGGGAGCCCUGGGCGGGGCGGCUGUGGGGAGGAACUGGGUUCGGGGAGCCCUGGGCGGGGCGACUGUGGGGAGGAGUUGGGUUCGGGGAGCCCUGGGCAGGGUGGGGCGGCUGCGGGGAGGAACUGGGUUCGGGGAGCCCUGGGCGGGACGGCUGCGGGGAGGAAGAUGAUGUGCAGGGGACCAGAGGCUCUGCACUGCUCCUAUGACAGCUCAUCUGUAAUCAGAAAAAAAUAAUAAUACAGAAUGCUGACUCCUCCCUGAGACAGAUCAGGGAACUUAGCACUUUAAUCCCUCCCUUCUGAGCGCUCGGUGUGCAUUAGACUAUAGCUGUUUCAUUGACGUGUCAUUUUGCAUCCAGUGUCCUUGAUGUGGGUUUUAGAGACUUAGCAGAAAAUUCGACACAAGCAAGAACUUGAUUUUUUAAGGAAAAUCUUACAUUUUGAGGACAUUUUGACAAGUAGGGGAAGGGAGGGCUUCUGUUCUGUUUUGUUUUGUUAGCUAAACCUGAAGUAUUAAUUCCACAAAGACACUGUCCCUCAGGACCACUCAGGUACAGCUCUGCCAGGGACAGAGUCCUGCUAGUGGGAGGUCUCAGGUGGGGCGGCGUGUUCUGUGCCACGAGGCAGCGGCAGGUCCAGAUGGAUGUCCUCACCACCUUCCUCAGCUCUCAUCACCUGGUCACAGGCCAGGCCCACCCCUUCCCAGCAAGGGACGCCAAAGAACUGCAGUUUUGAUUCUGAGUCUUAAUUUAAACUUUUCAUCAUCUUUUCCUAUUUUUGAGAAAUUUUUGUAAUUAAAAGCAAUUAUUUUAAAAUGCGCAAGCCAGUAUCUCACAAGGCAUGGAUUUCUGCGGAAUUUAUUUUUAUUCAAAUAACUAUGUAUCUCCGGGCUGUGGAAUCGCGGCUUUCUUCGUGAAGACAGUGCCUCUCCUUGUAAUCUCACACAGGUACACUGAGGAGGGGACGGCUCCGUCUUCACAUUGUGCGGAGAUCUGAGGAUGGGAUUAGCGAAGCUGUGGAGAGGGCACAUCCGGAUCUGCCCGUGUCUCAAAACAAACACAUGCACAGUGGCUCUUUUUCCUUCUCAAAUACUUUACCCCGGAAGCAGGUGGUCUGCCCCAGGCGUAGAGAAGGAAAACUGGCCAUCUUUCCCACCUCUAAAUUCUGUGAAAUUAUACAGUCGGUCGAAAGAUUCCUUUUUGUCAGCCCCACACCGUGUAAGUGGAGAGGGCAUUGUGUUCCGUGUCUGUCCAGUUCACAGCGUCUCUGCCCCUUAGCGUGCUUUGUGACAGUCUCCCUGGCUGAGGAGUGGGUGCGCCCAGCCUCAAGGCCGGCGGGCUGCUCGGGGCCUUCCAUGUGAGUUCUAGUGUUCAGCUGGUGCCAGGGAAUAGAAUUAGAGAAACCUCUGACCCACCGGGUGCCAGGGAGCAGUGGAGGUGGAUGGCAGGUCCGACUCGACCAUGACUUUUAGUUGUGAGGGUGUGUUGGCUUUUUGAGUCUCGUGUGAAAAUCCUCCUGUCUCUGGCAGCACCGUCUGCACUUUCUUGUUUACUGCCUGAAGGGACGAGUGCCAAGCCUCAAGAACACUUCUUUUGGCCACAGCAUAAGCUAAUGGUGUGUAAGGAACUGAUGGGCCAUUAAACAUGAACUGAACGGUUAAAAGCACAGUCUAUGGAACGCUAAUGGAGUCAGCCCCUAAAGCUGUUUGCUUUUUCAGGCUUUGGGUUACAUGCUUUUAAUUUGAUUUUAGAAUCUGGACACUUUCUAUGAAUGUAAUUCGGCCAAGAAACGUGUUGCUAAGAUGCAAUCCUCAGUGUUCUCUGUAUGUAAAUCUGUGUAUACACCACACGUUACAACUGCAUGAGCUUCCUCUCGCACCGAGACCAGCCGGAACUGAGCAUGAGACGCUGUCAAAUACAGACAAAGGAUAUGAGAUGUUCUCAAUAAAAAGAAAAUGUUUCACUCCUCUGGUGUUGCUGAGACUUUCUUUUCCUUUCAAAUUAUGUCUGCCUUCAGCUCCACUAGCAGGCCUGGGGAUGGAUGCCCACGUGCAUAACCUGAAAAGGUGGCUGAGUCCUGCCCAACAGUUGCAGCACUGACUCCACCUCGUCUUGCACCUGCUGUGCUUGCACCAGUGCUACUUGCAUUUCCCCAACUUGGGACAGUCUCCCCUCAGUCCCCACCCCUGUUAGAUUCUUGACUUCUUCACCGUCUUCCUGGAGAGCAUGUUGGCACCUCUCCUAUAUAUAAGGUGGUGUAGAGGAAAAGUAUGCAGCUGCCCCGCUCUCAUCCUGCAUAUAAAAUGGAUGACAACACAUGCCCAUGUUACUCGUUACCCUCACGUUACUUGCGGAUAGAACACAGGAAGAACCUACACACUCAACAAGAGGCAACGGUGACACGGGUGCUGGGGUGCAGUGAAAAAAAGCAGGUGCUAAGUGCCACCAUAGAACUAUGGUAUUUCUAGUUAUAACACUGGAAGGACAGUCACAAUAAAUUAAGUGGAAAGUUGGCAGCUAAGCGGCAUUUCUGUGUCGUGGCUGUGACAGUGUAUAUAUGCUUCAUGUACUGUACAAGCACAGGUGGGCCAGGCUGGCUAAGGAGGGAGUCUGGCCGUGGUCUGUGAACAUGGAAUUUGGGAUGGUUUUGAUUUUGUGUUCCUUUUUAAAAAGCAUAUCUAUUUGUCUCAUGUUUCUACAAUUAAAUGAACAAUUUAGGAAAAUAUUUUGAAAAGUCAAAAGCACCAUACAAAUAAUAAAAACAGCACUAUUACAGACAGAUAACUUGAUUUUCUCAUUUGCAUCAAUUUUGAAACUAUUUCAUUUUCCCACAAUAAAAACGUUAAAAUAUGUUGCAGCAAAAACAAGCUUCAGAGAAAAGAACGAAGGGAACCCUCUCCCUGACGAGUAAAUCCUUUGAACAGCGAUUCUUCGGGAGCUGCCUCGGGGGCCACACCGGAUGGAAUACUCGGACUCAUUAUUCUAUCAUGGAAUUGGGGAAAUGUCCCGAAUUUGACCAAACCUAGAAAGUGAUGGAGGAAGAUGCAGAUCAAACUGAAAAUGUAGCUGUUACAUUGUGAAUGGCACAGAAAAUUGAAGAAAUUGUCUCACAGCCUCUGGAAACUGUUACCUACUUAAGCAAAGAAGUGACUCAGUCACUGAACGAGUGAAGCUCUGACAUCGGUCCUGCUGCUUCGCCUUUGUCUGACUCAUCAGUGAAAACCUCCCCAGCAUUCUUGUCAGAACCACACUCAUUCAUCAGCUGCAACCCUGUGUUGGCUUCAGAUGUAGGGCUCAGCAAGACUCAGUGAAAUCAUUCCAUAAAAACUGGCUCUGUGGGAUUUACAACAGUACUGUAUAUUUUAUGCAUGUUUUUAAGUUGCUGCUCCUUUUCUAUCUGUAACAUGUACAGUAAGCUUAUGUACACACACAUGUGCAUACACUGGAGCAGGGUAGCCUGUUUAGCAGGUACUAGCACACCACUGGGUCCCAGAUGUCCCUGGGAGCAGAUCAAGGCAGUGCAAAGGCCCUGUGCUGGUGAGGGACUGAGAGUUGGUGGGAACUAAUCAGCCUCUGGCAGGUGCCUCCCCCAUCCCACCCUCCAGGACUGGUGAGAUUGGUCUGUCUAGUACAGCUGCAAGAGAAAGAACUGUGAGGCCAGACCUGAGGGAUGAGGAGUGAGUGUGGGUUUCUACUAGCCCACCUCCCACUAUGCCCUCAUCCCGCCUUCGGGCCAAGCAGCCAGUGCCUCCAGGGGAAAAUGACCUCAUAAGGAGAAAUGAGAAAUCUGAAGAGCACAACUACAUCAAGCUCAAAAUGGUAAUACUGCACAGAGAUUCUAUUACAAUAGAUUCUAGCAUUUUAGAACACAGUCCAGGAAUUAAACAGCCUAAAAGAGAUCAGAAAACAGAACCAAGCAGAAUUUGAAGGAGUAAACCCAACAGAUGAGCUAAAUAAUGGAAUGAACUUCCCAUUGGAAAACCACAUGGAAAAGGAGAGGGUAACAAAAAAGAAAAUAUAGAAAUACUAAAAUAUUUGGCUUAUAGAAGUGCUAACAUCUGGCUAAUAUGAUGUUCAUGGACUUCGUCACACCCACAAACUGAAGGCAUCACAGAGGAAAGGAUGUGUCUGAGAUGGCCUUAAAACAGCCACAGAGGCCAGGCAAGGUGGCUCACACCUGUAAUCCCAGCACUUUGGGAGGCCAAGGCAGGCAGAUCAUGAGGUCAGGCAUUCAAGACCAGCCUGGCCAAUAUGGUGAAACCCUGUCUCUACUGAAAAUACAAAAAUUAGCUGGGCGUGGUGGCAUGCGCCUGUAGUCCCAGCUACUCAAGAGGCUGAGGCAGGAGGAAUCACUUGAACCCAGGAGGCGUAGGUUGCAGUGAGUCGAGACCACGCCACUGUAGUCCAGUCUGGGCAACUGAGCGAGCCUCCGUCUCAAAAAAACAACAACAAAAAACACAGGGACAGGGAGCUCCAUUAAUGGAGAAGACAAGAAGAUCCGGAUGAAACAAUACCAGCCAAGUGUUGGUAAUUGUAUGUUUGCAAAUGUUCAUAAGAUUUUAAAAGUGCUAGCACAGACUUUUUUAAAUGCCAUUUAUUUGGUACUCUUAAGUACUCAUGGGAUUUUUUUCACUCAAAAGCAACAACUUUUAGUGCUGUAAAAUGUAAAUUGUCCUAAUUAAAGAAAAUAA